GUGAGAGAGAGAGAGAGAGAGAGAGGCGAUGAGGCCUGGGACACGGAGAAAGAAACAGAGAAAAAGGAGGAAGGAAGAUGAAGCGGCCUUCAGCAUAAGCACGAAAAAAGCCUUUCCCAGGAACUCUCGAUAUCAGACCAUUCUUUCUCGAGGUAGAGAGGAACAGAGACAGAGUUCGUAAGAGGGAGAACCGUCAGACUCCUGUGACCCCACGAAAUCCUGCGACGCUUGAAGAGAAAGAACAGAAGCCUGCCUUCACUAGCCUGCCGCCACACUUCAGCCAGCGAAACCACUACCGGUAAAACGGUAAAACUGAUUUCUUUUGUUUUCCCUUUCAGUUGUAGUGCUUUGGAUUUUAUUUCUUAAUCUUCUUCUCCUUCUGAGUGAAAAUUUGUUUGUUAAAAAAAAAAACUCUGCCAUUUUUUUUCUAACGUUUGGAGGAGAAUGAAAAAAUAAAGGUCUCACGUAGGGGAAGAUAGAGAGAGGCUGGAACCACUACUGGUGAGUUUUUAUCUUUGCAUUUAAGUUUGUUUGUUAAAUAUGAUUAGGUUUAGAUAUUUUGUUUGGAUUGGUUUUGAUUUGGAUCAGGCUUUGAUAUUUUUUUGGGUCUUUUUUAUCUCCACAUUUAAGUUUGUUUAAUAAAUAUGAUUACGUUUCAAAAUCAAUUUCUCUAUGCUUGAAAUUUGCUUAUUUAUUAAUUGUUCCGUUUGGUAUUAGAAUACCCAACUUGAUGGCUGGUUAUGGCAAAGUCAAUAAGAGUUUGCAACCCAGGUAAUUUAAUUCAUUUAAUAUAGUCUAAUUUUGGUCUUACCUUCAAUCUGCUGCAAUUUAAUUGUUGGGUCUCAAGCACUAUUCUAUAAGAGCACGUUAUGAGCAAUAUAAGAGCAACUUAAGCCAAAUAUAAGAGCACAUUGUGAUUACCGUAAUAUAUUAGUUCUUAAUAUUUAUAUUUUUCAUAUUUAUAAUGAUCUUAUGUGUAAAUUUUUGACAAUUUGUAAACAACUUUUUUAUUGGAUCAGAUUUAGCCCUCAAAUAGGUGAAAUUAGACAAAUAUUUAAGCCUGAACAUGUUAACACUUAAACUUAAAUCUGGAAUUUUGCUGAUUGUACAAGUAUGUGUUUUAACUUUUAAUGUGUUUGAAAAAAAAAUAUUGAUUUGAGAUUGAUGUAUUCUCUUAGAGACAGCCUUUAAAUUUGCCAUUAUUGGGGAAGUUUGCAGAUUGUACAUUUGUGUUUUAAUGUGUUUUAGAAAAAUGAAUUGAUGCAUUCUCUUAGGCUUAGAAAUGACAAGGUUUCACGGUAGUAGUAGUGGUGCGCUAUGAUGUUAACAUAGUCAUAAGAGAUAUCAAUGGAUUAAACUACAUGAUAACCAACUGUCUAUUUGAGUUUAUCUAAUGGCCAUAAUUCCACACUAUAACCAUUUCAUUUUUCAUUCAUGGUAUUUGAAUUCCGAGUUUUAAGACAUCACAUGCAUCAUCUGAGCCUAUAUUAUUUCUCAUUUGUAGUGUUCACUUUGAUGCAGUUUCCAAAAUUACUUGAUCAAAUGUACUCUCUGCAUUUUUAAAAACAUAAAAACAUGUUUGAUGUGUCUUUCACAAAUCGGAUUGUCCCAUCUCCUUUAAGGGAAAAAUUAUGGAUAA